UCCUUGAGCUGUGAAGGUGGGAUUUAAGUCUGUUAACAUCCGGGUACCCACACUGCCAUCAGCAGUGUGCAGAAAGGACCAUUCCAGUUCCUCUCUGCAUCUACUGAGUCAGGAGGAGCUGGUCGCAUGGUCUGGGGUGGUAGCCCCAAGGUCACCACCCUCAGUUCUGAAGGAUGCAUCGAGCUCCUUGGAAAUGAUGGAGGUAGAAUGUGAAGACUGUUAGACGUCCCCAGAACCAUUUUGGAAAGAGCACAUGCCUUCGGGACUUGCAGCUGAUGAAGGUCAGAGGGAACAGUCCGAGGACACCAGAGAUCUGUAGCCUCAUCCAGGUCUCUGUGUGAUUCUUUCCACAGCUUUCCUGCGUACCACUGCUCACACCUCAGACUUUAUCUUCUCCCGAUGCAUUCAUCUGGAGUAGGUGGGUGAGUGGGCCAGCUUGACCCGGAAGUGGCUAGUUUAUGUCCUUACUCCCUGGCUGGCUAGUUUUUACUUUUGGUCAACUUGACACAAAUCUAGACAAAUCUGGGAAGAGGAAACUUCACUUGAGGAGUGGCCUCUAUCAGAUUGUCCUACAGGCAACCCUCAUGGGUCAUUUUCUUGACUAAUGAGGGAUAUGGGGGGAUAGCCCAGCCAACUGUGGGGGUCCACUCUGAGCAGGUGUUCUUGGAUGGUAUGAAAAAGCAGGAUGAAUAAACCAUGGGGACCAAACCAAUAAAGAACACCCGUCCAUGGCUUUUACUUCA
rnacentral:sRNA from 1 species